AAUCAACGCUGGCGGCGUGCCUAACACAUGCAAGUCGAGCGAGAAAGGGGUAGCAAUACCCUGAGUAAAGCGGCGCACGGGUGAGUAACACGUGGGUAAUCUGCCCUAGAGUGGGGAAUAACACCGGGAAACCGGUGCUAAUACCGCAUACGAUCACGAUGUCUUCGGAUGUUGUGAUGAAAGGAGCAAUUCGCUCUUGGAGGAGCCCGCGGCUGAUUAGCUAGUUGGUAAGGUAAUGGCUUACCAAGGCUACGAUCAGUAUCCGGUCUGAGAGGACGGUCGGACACACUGGAACUGAGACACGGUCCAGACUCCUAC
rnacentral:rRNA from 1 species